UCUCAAAAAAUCAAAACUUUCACAACUCAUUUAUUCAUUGCAAAUUAUCAAAUUAAUUAGCCACAAUUAUUCAUUGCAACUCAUUUUUAAAAGUUUGUAACCCAUUAAUAUGUUGACUAUGACCUUUUGUGACCAAGUUUGUUAAUUGUGAUCUAUUGUGACCAGUAAUGUAUUGGAUGUGACUUGUUGUCUAACUAUAAUAUGUUAUCACAAAUUAUAUCUAACAAAAAAUUAACCUAAAUCAUACGUGAUGUAAAGCAAACGAGAAGGCGAUUUGAUAGGUUCAUCAAAUUGAAGGGGAAGACCAACCCUACGAGGUUUGAGACAAACGACGCCGUCGGAAUCACCCUUCUUUGCCAUGUUUCCAACACAACCCACCAAUGAAUUCUAUUGGUUUACACACACAUUCAUGGUUUUUGCCUUAUUAUUCACAAAUCCAAAGCCUAAACGACAAACAAAAACACCCAACUUCAGAUCUAUACAUACAAAUUACAUAAACACAUAUAAACAAAAAAUUAAAAGGGUAUGCACAAUUUCUGAAAAUAAUUGGUAUACACAAAGAGAAGUCAGGUAAGCUGUCAAAUAGAGCCACCACCACAACAUAGUAACUACCGCACCCAACCACUGCGACCACAACCAACAGAGUCGUCAUCACCGCCACCAGAGCCAACAAACCUCAUAUUAGAAAAUCAUCACACCCCCACAACAACUAAGAGCACCACCGCAUCUAUACAACCAUCUCCAAAAUUACCACCACUACAACAGCGAGUCGCCACUUUCGACAGCGAUGGCGUGGUCGGCCUAGCAAAGCUCUCCAUGCUAUCGGAGAUGGCGGGGUGGAUGGAUUAGAGGGUAGAGAGAGAAGUCAGAGAAAAGAAGAGAGUGAGGAUGAGGGUAAAAAUGAAUUCGAUUUUGGGAUAAA
rnacentral:lncRNA from 1 species